rnacentral:rRNA from 1 species
GUCUACGGCUAUGCUAUCCUGAACAAGCCCGAUACCGUCUGAUCUUGGAAGCUAAGCAGGGUCUGUCCUGGUUAGUACUUGGAUGGGAAACCACCUAAGAUGACCGGGUGCCGUAGGCG